UAAGAUCUCAUUCUUUUAUAGACUACAACUAGUAUAAAACUGUUCACAGCAUGAAGUUACAGCAUGAGUAGGUACAAAUGUGAAAAGGAACAUUUUGUGAAAUAUCUUAGAAAAUAAAGACAUUUCAAAAGGAAAAAAAAAUUAAAAGCAAAUUCCUAUAUGCUUCUACAUUCUGUACAAGUGGUCCUAAGCAUAGGUGUGAUUCCAACAACAUGUUUGUACUAGCCCUGGUGUAUGAAAUCUCUCCCUGGUUUCUGAAGUUGAAGUUCUCUUUGCUGAGUAUUUUUAAGUCCCUUAGACAACCUGAUUUUUCUUUUACCUUGACCUCUUUGUUACCAAAAUAAUACAAACUGCCAAAUUAAACUUUCUAUUCUCAGAUUUAAA
rnacentral:lncRNA from 1 species